AUGUCCCAAAGCCUGGCUUUACUCUUGAUGAGCACCAAAAUGUAUAGUAGUGGCGUGGAUUUGUUUCGACAGAUCCAAGCAUUUCUCUCAUUCCAUAAGACCCAAUUCACAAACAUACGCCCAUCGAGACAAGUCAAGGGCCUCCAAGCCAAGCCAAUCCUUAAUCAUCGUCCACACUCUCAAUAUGAAACAACAUUUGAAGAAGAGAUGAGUGGCCAAUUCUUGUGCCCUUAUGCAAAAGGGCCAAAGCCUACAAUUUGGCCAACCUCACUUCUCAAGUCGGUCUGCAGUACACACCCUAUUUUGGAUAGCAAGCCAUGCAAAGGAUUCGACCUUUGGGGGAGCCCAUGA
rnacentral:rRNA from 1 species